rnacentral:lncRNA from 1 species
UACUAUCCAUGGCCUGUGCUUGAACUGGUUCUGUCAUUCCACUUCCAUCCUUCCCCAAUCCCUAUUUACCACAUCAAAUGCACAAAAACAAGAAAAAACAAUCCCCCAGAUUUAAAAUUGUUAGAAAUUUCUGCUUCAAAGAUGCAAAAUGGCAACUGAUGUACCAAUUAAUUUCAUCUCUCAAAUUUACCUACAAUUAAGAAAAUGUAAGAAGAUAUUUUCUGAAGAGAGAAAACAAGUAAAUUUACAAUUAUGAAAGAGCAUUGAUGCUAAAAAUAUUUGAAAAGUACUUUAUUAGACAGUGUAAUUGGUACUGACUCUAGAGCGUUACAAAUGUUCAUUAUAAUCAGAACAAAAGCAUAGCUGCACUUGCUACCAAAAUGUUAGCAAAAGACGAUAAACCAUGCAUUACAUUCUAUCUGUAUGCUUAUCACCUUUAAGUUAACAUUAGAAUGCAGAGGCUUUAACUGAUUUUGCUUGGGAAUCAAGAAUAAGUCUUAAAUAGGGUAUGUGCCCGACAAAGGCAUGUUCAUUGUUUUUCAAGUUUUUCCAUAUAUUUGGAGGGUCAGAAAGCCAUAUUGAUAUCCAUCAAAUGUCUUAAAAGUGGUACUUGGGAAAAAGAAGUGGAGGCAACAUAGCUUUGAACAACACCACAUAACAGGGCCAUUUGAAAGUCAGAAUUAUUCAUUUUUUUAACAAAAGAGAGGAGACAGAAAAAAGCUAGAGGGUUCUAUGAAGCAAUUCGAUAGCACUUGAAAAAUAGAAAUUAACAGCUAAAAAGUACAGGAGAGAAAUGAUACCAAUCCUUCAUGCCAACCCAUAUUGCGGAGCAUUCGGUUGCCCACAUUGUUUUCAUCAAUUGCUUUCUCUGCCGUGAUCACCUCAAAACUCUGAACAUCAUCUGAUAUUACCCCACGUCCACCACC